rnacentral:rRNA from 2 species
ACGGCCACACCUAGGCGAAAACACCAGUUCCCGUCCGAUCACUGCAGUUAAGCGUCUGAGGGUCUCGUUAGUACUAUGGUUGGAGACAACAUGGGAAUCCGGGAUGCUGUAGGCU